rnacentral:tRNA from 1 species
GUCGGGAUAGCUCAGCUCUA